GCUGGUGCAGCUGAUGACUUCACUUUUUUUCCCCAUCAGAUCGACCCUGUUGAUCUCAUAAGCUAAUAGCCAGUUUUUGUCUGAUGCAUUGGU